rnacentral:rRNA from 1 species
CGGUAACAGCUCAAAUUUGAAAUCUGGCUCCUUUGGGGUCCGAGUUGUAAUUUGUAGAAGAUGCUUUGGGUGUGGGCCUGGCCUAAGUUCCUUGGAACAGGACGUCGUAGAGGGUGAGAAUCCCGUAUGCGGCUGGCGCCCGCGCCCAUGUAAAGCUCUUUCGAC